UACGUAGGGUGCGAGCGUUAAUCGGAAUUACUGGGCGUAAAGUGUGCGCAGGCGGCAGAGCAAGUCGAGUGUGAAAGCCCCGGGCUUAACUUGGGAAUUGCGCUCGAAACUACUUUGCUGGAGUGUGGCAGAGGAAGGUGGAAUUCCAGGUGUAGCGGUGAAAUGCGUAGAUAUCUGGAGGAACACCGGUGGCGAAGGCGGCAUCCUGGACCGGCAUUGACGCUGAGGCGCGAAAGCCAGGGGAGCAAACGGG
rnacentral:rRNA from 1 species